rnacentral:pre_miRNA from 1 species
GUGGAAGCGCCGGAUCCUGGGCUGUGUCCCCCGGCGCCCUGGGCUCAGCGACCAGCUUCGCUGGACUCGUGCUCCUGGGGCUGCGCAGGCCCUC